rnacentral:rRNA from 1 species
AACGAACGCUGGCGGCAGGCCUAACACAUGCAAGUCGAGCGAGGACUUCGGUUCUAGCGGCGGACGGGUGAGUAACGCGUGGGAAUGUGCCCUUCUCUACGGAAUAGCCCUGGGAAACUGGGAGUAAUACCGUAUACGCCCUAUUGGGGAAAGAUUUAUCGGAGAAGGAUCAGCCCGCGUUGGAUUAGGUAGUUGGUGGGGUAAUGGCCUACCAAGCCGACGAUCCAUAGCUGGUUUGAGAGGAUGAUCAGCCACACUGGGACUGAGACACGGCCCAGACUCCUACGGGAUGCAGCAGUGGGGAAUCUUAGACAAUGGGGGCAACCCUGAUCGAGCCAGGCCGCGUGAGUGAUGAAGGCCUGAGGGUUGUAAAGCGCUUUCAGCUGGGAAGAUAAUGACGGUACCAGCAGAAGAAGCCCCGGCUAACUCCGUG